rnacentral:rRNA from 1 species
AGAGUUUGAUCAUGGCUCAGGACGAACGCUGGCGGCGCGCCUAACACAUGCAAGUCGAACGAGAGAGAAGGAGCUUGCUUCUUCGAUCGAGUGGCGAACGGGUGGAGUAACGCGUGAGGAACCUGCCUCCAAAGAGGGGGGACGAACAGUUGGAAACGACUGCUAAUACCGCAUAAGCCCACGGGUCGGCAUCGACCUGAGGGAAAAGGAGCAAUCCGCUUUGAGAUGGCCUCGCGUCCGAUUAGCUAGUU